rnacentral:lncRNA from 1 species
UAAGAAUAUUAGUAAUAAAAAUCUUUUUUGAGGUUAAUUGAGUGAUUAUCAAUUUAGGUUAAAAAUUAAUAAACUGGAUAACAUGCUGUACAAUUGUUUUUAUGCCUUAACUAUACGAUGAUAAUUUUCUGAUUUUAAUCUAAUUAGAUUUCAUGUGAAUUAUUAUACGAAUAGAAUGAAGCCACAGUUACAAGUAAUAAGCAAGACAUGAAUCUGUUAAAAGAUGAUCAACCAUUUUACUGGAAGAGAGAGCACAUAUUAUUUUCAACAACUAUAAGAAGAAGCCGACGAUACUGAAAUAAUGAAAUAUUUUGGAAGACACUGUCUUCUUUUUAUUCACACUGGGAAGAAACCAUGUGCAUUAAUAUUGUAUCAAAAGAAUUGAAAAAUGAAUACAUCUUAUUUUUUCGAGAUUUCUAAAACUAAUUCAGAGAAGUGUAAUACCUAUUACUAUCGUUAUAAAAAUGUAUCUAAAAGAAGGUAUCCAUCACAAAAAAACGCGGAACGUUCUAAGAAGUAUAGGCUGUGAAAAAAAUAUUUUUCUACGCAGAAGAAGUAUAACUUCUUACGUGCGUACAU